GAUAAGCGCUGAAAGCAUCUAAGCGCGAAGCUGGCCCCGAGAUGAGUCAUCCCUAGAGCUUCGAGCUCUCUAAAGGGUUGUCGUAGACGACGACGUUGAUAGGCAGGGUGUGUAAGCGCUGUGAGGCGUUGAGCUAACCUGUACUAAUUGCCCGUGCGGCUUAACCAUACAACACCCAAG
rnacentral:rRNA from 1 species